GUGAUGGCAAAGUAGGUUAUUUAGAGUACGCGACAGAAAUGACUGUAGAGUGCGAUGAUGCUUGUGCAGAUGAUGAAGCUACACUGGCUAGGAUGAACAGCUUUCUUAAUGAUGCACUACAUGCUUCAUGUGAAGGGAUCAUGGUGAAGUCCCUUGAUGAAGAUGCUGGGUACACACCCUCAAAGCGCUCUGAUGCAUGGUUAAAGGUCAAGAGAGACUAUGUUGAAGGAUUAAAUGAUUCCCUGGACUUGGUUCCAAUUGGUGCAUGGCAUGGGAAUGGAAGAAAAGCAGGAUGGUAUAGUCCUUUCCUUAUGGCCUGCUACAACCCUGACACGGAGGAAUUUCAGAGUGUCUGCCGGGUCAUGUCUGGGUUUUCUGAUUCCUUCUAUGUAGAGAUGAGAGACUUCUUCGAUGCGGACAAGAUCUGCCAGAAAAAGCCACCCUACUACCGAAGUGAAGAGGUUCCGGAUAUGUGGUUUUCUCCAGAAGUUGUGUGGGUGAUAAGGGGUGCUGACUUCACAGUGUCACCAGUGCAUCACGCAGCUAUUGGUUUAGUCCAUCCAUCUCGUGGUAUUUCUGUCAGAUUUCCCAGGUUCAUCCGGUGUUUGUCAGAU
rnacentral:misc_RNA from 1 species